rnacentral:rRNA from 1 species
GAUGAACGCUGGCGGCGUGCUUAACACAUGCAAGUCGAACGGAAAGGCUCCUGCUUGCAGGGGUACUCGAUUGGCGAACGGGUGAGUAACACGUGUGUGAUCUGCCCUGCACUUCGGGAUAAGCCUGGGAAACUGGGUCUAAUACCGGAUCGGACGAUGGUUUGGAUUGCAUUGUGGAAAUUGUUUCGGUGUGGGCUGAGCUCGCGGCCUAUCAGCUUGUUGGUGGGGUAAUGGCAUACCAAGGCGUCGACGGUUAGCCGGCCUGAGAGGGUGUACGGCGACAUUGGGACUGAGCUACGGCCCAGACGCCUACGGGAGGCAGCAGUGGGGAAUAUUGCACAAUGGGCGCAAGCCUGAUGCAGAGACGCCGCGUGGGGGAUGACGGCCUUCGGGUUGUAAACUCCUUUCGCUAGGGACGAAGCGCAAGUGACGGUACCUGGAGAAGAAGCACCGGCUAACUACGUG